UGGGGAAUAUUGCACAAUGGGGGAAACCCUGAUGCAGCGACGCCGCGUGAGCGAAGAAGGCUUUCGAGUCGUAAAGCUCUGUCCUAUGAGAAGAUAAUGACGGUAUCAUAGGAGGAAGCCCUGGCUAAAUACGUGCCAGCAGCCGCGGUAAUACGUAUGGGGCGAGCGUUGUCCGGAAUUAUUGGGCGUAAAGGGUACGUAGGCGGUUUUUUAAGUCAGGUGUCAAAGCGUGGAGCUUAACUCCAUUAAGCACUUGAAACUGAAAGACUUGAGUGCAGGAGAGGAAAGUGGAAUUCCUAGUGUAGCGGUGCAAUGCGUAGAUAUUAGGAGGACUACCGGUGGCGAAGGCGACUUUCUGGACUUUUACUGACGCUCAGGUACGAAAGCGUGGGGAGCAAACAGG
rnacentral:rRNA from 1 species